CUUUCAAUUCCCUGAUAAUGCAGGAUGCUGCAGCAGCAGCUGGAGCAUGGGCACAUGGGCUGUCCUAGAGAAAACCCCAGUGCCAGUGCCACCUUUCACCUGGCACAAAGCUGGCCUGGUGAGCAGAGCAGUGCCAGGUGCCAGUUUUUAGGGAUGUGAUGGGUGCUGCUCUGCUUUCCAGCUCUGUCCUGGGCUAUGAGGAGAGGAGCAGCUCCACAAAUCCUGAGGGUCCAUCCCACCACCAGCCCUACUGGGAUGAGACAAGGUUUCUGGACUCGGUCAGCCUCACUGAGAGGGGCCAAGGAGCUCCUGGCCAUGAGAGCCCCCCAGAGCCCCCCAGGCUGAAGGAUGCCACUGAGCCCAGCAGGGCUGGGUCUGAGCUGCACUCCCAGGACACUGCUGGGAGCAGGGACAGGGAGCUGGCACUGUCAUCCUGUGUGCAGAGUGAGGAGAG
rnacentral:lncRNA from 1 species